AUGCGGCCCCGGGCGCGUGUGGAUGACGUCACCCGGCGCGUGCCGGGGUAGCCCGUAGUAACCCCGAGUCUGCGGAAGUGGUGACCCGUGGGACGCGGCUGAGACAGGAGACUGAAAGGAACCAUAAUUUGUGACAUCAGUUGUUUUUUUUGAUAAGCAGCUAUUUAUGAUUCUGGAAGAUUAAGGCAGAUAGGAAACCCCAUCUGAGAUUUUAAUAAAUCCCUCAAACAAUAAACCACAUCAUGGACAUACAGCUGGACCCUGCCAGAGAUGACCUGCCUCUCAUGGCCAACACCAGCCACAUACUUGUGAAGCACUAUGUACUGGAUUUGGAUGUGGAUUUUGAAAGUCAAGUCAUUGAGGGGACCAUAGUGCUUUUCCUCGAGGAUGGAAACAGAUUCAAGAAACAGAAUAGCUCUAUCGAGGAAGCCUGCCAAUCAGAAUCAAACAAAGCCUGCAAAUUUGGGAUGCCUGAACCCUGCCAUAUUCCCGUGACAAAUGCAAGGACCUUGUCAUCUGAAAUGGAAUAUAAUGAUUUUGCAAUCUGUAGUAAAGGUGAAAAAGAUACUUCUGAUAAAGAUGGUAACCAUGACAACCAGGAACAUGCUUCUGGGAUUUCUAGCUCAAAGUACUGCUGUGACACAGGGAAUCAUGGGAGUGAGGAUUUUUUGCUAGUGUUGGACUGCUGUGAUUUAUCUGUGUUAAAAGUCGAGGAGGUGGAUGUUGCUGCUGUGCCAGGUCUGGAAAAAUUUACAAGGUCUCCUGAGCUCACGGUUGUUUCUGAGGAGUUCAGGAAUCAGAUUGUACAUGAACUUGUGACUUUGCCUGCAAAUCGUUGGAGGGAGCAGUUAGACUAUUACGCUUGCUGCAGCCAGGCUCCUGGCUGUGGAGAACUCCUCUUUGACACUGACACUUGGAGCUUGCAGAUAAGGAAGACAGGGGCUCAGACAGCUACUGACUUUCCUCAUGCUAUCAGGAUAUGGUACAAAACUAAACCUGAAGGGCGAUCGGUUACAUGGACCUCAGACCAGAGUGGCAGGCCAUGUGUUUAUACUGUGGGAUCUCCCAUAAACAACAGGGCCCUUUUUCCAUGCCAGGAGCCACCCGUUGCCAUGUCAACAUGGCAGGCUACAGUUCGAGCAGCUGCAUCUUUUGUUGUUUUAAUGAGUGGGGAAAAUUCUGCCAAACCAACGCAGCUUUGGGAAGGGUGCUCAAGCUGGUAUUACUAUGUAACUAUGCCAAUGCCAGCCUCCACCUUCACAAUUGCAGUGGGAUGCUGGACAGAAAUGAAGAUGGAGACAUGGUCAUCAAAUGAUUUGGCAACAGAAAGACCCUUCUCACCUUCUGAGGCCAACUUCAGGCAUGUUGGUGUUUGCAGUCACAUGGAAUACCCCUGCCGCUUCCAGAAUGCUUCUGCCACCACCCAGGAGAUCAUUCCUCAUCGGGUCUUUGCCCCUGUGUGCCUCACGGGUGCCUGCCAAGAGACCCUUCUGCGGCUGAUCCCUCCUUGCCUCUCAGCAGCACAUUCUGUUCUGGGAACACACCCGUUCUCUCGGCUGGAUGUUCUCAUCGUCCCUGCCAACUUUCCAAGUCUGGGGAUGGCCAGCCCACACAUCAUGUUCCUCUCUCAGAGCAUCUUGACGGGAGGGAACCAUCUCUGUGGGACCCGCCUCUGCCAUGAAAUUGCCCAUGCCUGGUUUGGCCUAGCCAUCGGGGCCCGAGACUGGACAGAGGAGUGGCUGAGUGAAGGCUUCGCCACUCACUUGGAGGAUGUGUUUUGGGCCACAGCACAGCAGCUGGCCCCCCAUGAGGCCCGGGAGCAGCAGGAGCUGAGGGCUUGUCUGCGCUGGCGUCGCCUCCAGGACGAGAUGCAAUGCUCCCCCGAGGAGAUGCAGGUGUUAAGACCCAGUAAAGACAAAACUGGCCACACAAGUGACUCGGGAGCAUCUGUUAUCAAGCAUGGACUUAAUCCGGAGAAGAUCUUCAUGCAGGUGCAUUAUUUAAAGGGCUACUUCCUUCUUUGGUUUCUUGCCAAAAGACUUGGAGAUGAAACCUAUUUUUCAUUUUUAAGAAAAUUUGUGCACACAUUUCAUGGACAGCUGAUUCUUUCCCAGGAUUUCCUUCAAAUGCUACUGGAGAACAUUCCAGAAGAAAAAAGGCUUGAGCUGUCUGUUGAAAACAUCCACCAAGACUGGCUUGAGAGUUCCGGAAUACCAAAGCCGCUGCAGAGGGAGCGUCGCGCCGGGGCGGAGUGCGGGCUCGCGCGGCAAGUGCGCGCCGAGGUCACGAAAUGGAUUCGAGUGAACCGGAGACCCCGAAAACGGAAGCGCAGGGAGAAGGAAGAGGUGUUUGAAAAGACUUUAAAUUGGAGUCAUCUAAGAAAUGGAGAGAGAAGAAGAAAGAAGUGGAUUACUUUUAAAACACUAGGAGGAAUUUUAUUUGCUGUAAAGUAAAUGAGAAAUUUGUUUGCCCAAGUUUAGAAUUUCAGUAUGUUACUUUGCAGAAGUUUGGACUGCCUGUCUUUUGAUUUUGUAUUAAAACUUGAUUUGUCAUUGUAAUAAAUAUCAUGAAAUAAGGUAAGUAGCCCGUUGUUUUCUAAGUGACUUGCGGAAAACUCGUAAAAGUGAAUAAUUUUUUGACAAAUAUUACAGCUGAUAGGUUUUUUUGUUGCUUUUGCUUAAUUACAUUUCACUGUUUUUUGAUUCUUGAUACCAGCAAGGGAUUAAAAUAGCGGUGUGUUUUUCUGCUGCUAGAAUGUAUGAUGAAUCACUCUUGAUUCUGAAGCCAAAUUCUUGCUGAUAGCAUUGCUGCCAAUUUCUGUGCUAUGUUGCCUUAGUAUGGGCAUUGCAGCGUCCGAGAAUGUGCACAAAGCACAUCAGAAUAAAGGUGAUCCCAGAGCUGCAGAGUGCACUUCAGGAUACCAGAGGGCAGCUUCUGAGAGAGCUGGAAAAGGAACCAGCCUGCGAAUAUAGUUGUUUGUAGCUGGACUUUCAGUGUGCAUGAAAAGGGGGACCCCACCCCUUUUCUUUUUCCACAGAGGGUCAUAUAUGUCACUUCAGUUGAAGAAUAAUAGAAAAAGUUGUGAUUUGGAACAGACUUGAGUUUUCUGACCAUACCUCAGCAUGGUAUGGUAAGUUGUGUUUAAUAGUUUAGGUGUUUUUUUAAAUGUUUGUGAGGUGAUGAAUGAGAUCAUAAAAUACCCAAAGAAGGAAAAGAAUUAUGGCGUGCUUGGUAUUUUUAAAAAAAUGUGUCGUUGCUGUUAAUUUUUUUUUUUUUUUUUUUUUUUGAGACGGAGUCUUGCUCUGUCACCCAGGCUGGAGUGCAGUGGCGCGAUCUCGGCUCAUUGAAGCCUCGGCCUCCCAGGUUCAAGCUAUUCUUCUGCCUCAGCCUCCCGAAUAGCUGGAACUACAGGCACGUGGCACCACGCCCUGCUAAUUUUUGUAUUUUUAGUAGAGACGGGGUUUCACUGUGUUAGCCAGGAUGGUCUCGAUCUCCUGACUUCGUGAUCUGCCCGCCUCGGUGUCCCAAAGUGCUGGGAUUACAGGCGUGAGCCACUGCGCCCUGCCAGCUGUUAAUUUUUAAGCCAAAAAUAAGAUUACCAAAAUGCACAAUGUGCUGUAGAAAGGAAGGGGAAGCCAUUAUCUUUGUGGAUUACUAGAUGUUGUCACUACCAAAAUCUAACCUAGAAGUAACCGUAUUUGUGACACCCAUGACCUGACCACUGGGUCUCCUGAGAAUCGGGGUGGGGAGAAAGUGGGGGGGGGGGGGGGGACUGAUUAUUUUACCUUGCAGGAGAAUGAAGUUCUUUGCCCAACCGUUUCCUCUUGAUACAAGCUCUUGCGUUAAAACUUAGGGGGAAGAUUUGCCUCUGACUUUUUUUCUUGGAAAAUGUGGGCAGCAAUUUUAAAGAGAACAUGAAAAUGGAGUAGGUUGAAACCAACAUUCAGAACUUCCUUUCAUGGAUUGAAACUUAAAGCUGAGGAGGUUUGAGGGUGGAGGUGAGGAAGGGCUAGAAGAUAGCAAAUUUCACAGUCAUGUCAGAGAAUAUGAACUGUCAGUGUUUCCAGUGUUUCUCUUGGCUCUGCACAGCACUUCCAAGCCCUUUUGCUCACUGUUUUGCUUCUGCCACACCUGGGAGAAGAUUCAGAGCUUGCUGAGGCAAAACAUGCGAUAUUUCCAAGGGCCUUCCCCCUAUUCUGAAAUAGAAAUUGAGCUUUGUGAUCAUGUGUAUUCAUUCCAAGGUCUGUGUGUUAACCUUUUGCUAGGAUUUGAACCUGUUAUUAGUAGGAGCCGACGCAGUUCACUUGCUGUUGAGUCUAAUAAGUUAUUUUUAAAAACGUUUGCCAUGUCACAAGUAGAAGCAGAUUAUUCAAUUUCUCUUUUUUCCUGCAUCCACUUUAUUUUUCUUCUAUGUUAAAAUAAAACUAUGGUAUUUUCUGAUGUUAUUCAUUUUGUGUUAGUGUAAAAUAAAAUGAAUCUUAGUCAUUUCUGGUAGAUGCCGCUUUGAAAUGUAGCCAUUGCUUUUGAUUGUCUACUUUGUUUUCCUUGCCUCCGUUCAUCCCCUCCACAUUGCCCUUGCCUCCAGCCCUGAAGGGUCUGUCUACACCUGCAGGCUUCUCUCAGGAUUCAGCCUAGAUGAGUAAAUUCGGUGAAGUCAUCUGUACUAACUCUGCUGGGGGUCACAACCUUUUUCCUCCGAUAGGAGGGGGCAGCUUUUUUCCUGCCGUGUGGAAAGCAGAACCUCUGACCUGCCCGGGAAAGGAAAACAGUGCUCUAGUGAGAGGACGGACUCUGACCACGGGCGCUGAGCAAGGAGCUACACGGUAGAAUGGCAUCUUCCAGGGAUGUUUGUUUUCCCCUUAAAGAAAAUCUCGAAGGUGCUGAGUAGUAGGCACAGUCUGAUGUAACCUGAAAUACUAGUUGAGUUUUUCAGUGAACUCACAAGGGGAAGCAAAACAAACUCACCCUGUGCUCAGCUGUGGGUUAAAAUAACGAAUAGUGAAAUAAAGUAAAUUGGGGACUGAGAUGUACCAUGCAGAUAAAGUGAUGUAAAGUGCUCUGCUGGCCUUUCCCCGCCUUCUGCUUCCAGUCAUCCCACCCACCAGAGAAUUGUGCCAUCUUUCUGUGUUGUCCUAACAGGCUUCAUUUCUUAUCUCUCUGAAGAUGCAUCAUUCUGUCUCAUGCAUCUUUUCAUAUUUUCUCUGACAUUUAUUUCCAUUUUAUUUUAGUUUCAUAUUUUAGCCCUUGUUCUCCUGGUAUGACUGAAUUCUUUUAUAUUUUGUUUUUCGUUUAAAAUGACAAAACUCACGUCUUCUACUUCUGGUCCUCAGGUAUUUUUUUCUUCUAUUCUGAUACUCUUUUUUAUUAUUUCAAGUUCCUUUCAUUUAGUUUGAAUAAUUUUUGCAACACAAAAACAAGGAAAGUAUGAAUAACUAACGAAGAACAAUUAGGAUGAUUGGAUCAGCCAGCUGUGCAAAGGACAGGAUGAACGGUUGUGAUUGCAACAGUGGAUUUUAUGUGUGUUUUUAAACUAAUAGAUUUCACUAAAUGGCUGUUGGUUUUGGAAGAGGAAUGCACUUUUUUUUCUUUUUUUUACCUUCGUUAGCUGAUUCAAAGAUAAAAUUAUGUGCCAUCACAGAUUAAGGAAUGUUUUUAUAAAUAUAUACAUAUAAAAUAAUAUAAAGAUUUAGUAACUCUUUUAUCAAUAUUCUAAGGAUUAGAAUGUAUAGUAGCAUAGUCUUUUAUGAAAUAAUAUACUUAUGGAAAAUAUAUGACUGGUAUAUGAUUCCUUUAGAGGAAGAAAAUUUCAAUUUUCAGAUUCAAAGGAAGCACCCUUCCUAGUCUAUAUAUAUAAUAAGCGGAGAACUAGUUUUACAGUGCUCAUUUCAGGUCUUCAGUAAGUGUGUAUGAUGAUGUCAGAAGUAUUCAUUGGCUCACUUUCAAAUCAUUGAAAAUUCAGCCAUGCUAAGGUUGGCUAUUACGUGUAUUAGCGUUUCCAAGCGAGUGGUCUUGGCUGGGGUGAGAUUGUCAGCUGUCUGUUAGGAUUAGUCACAACGAACAUGGUGCAAAUGGUUUCCAACAACAGCGCACUUCAAGGUUACCUUCAUAAUUCUUUUCUGCCAGAACCCAAAAAACAAUACUCUUGAGCUACUCAGUGUUCCAAUUGUUAAAAAUUUCCUGAAAUUUUCCUUCAUGUAUUCAAAGUGAAACAUAAAGAUCUAGAAGGAUGGUUGUGAAAAGUAUGGACUUUAUAGUAUCUAGUGGGCAUUUUCAUUGAGCCCAAAUGAUAAAUUCUGUUUUCCAAGUCUUUAAGUGAAAAAAAAAAAAAGAUUUUCCUUGUUAUAAUAUAUUCCUAAAUUCUAGAGUAUUUUCACUCUACUUCUAUUUCAUUUGUUCCUUGUACGUACUUGACUCUGAACCAAAAUCAGUGAUAAUCUUAGUUUGAAUAAUAAUUCAGAUUUAAAAAAUUGUAUAUAAAAUCCAAUUUGGUUUAUGCAUUUUUUAGCGUUUAUUGUUCCUUUUAAAUUUUAUGUAUUGUAAGAGAAUACUUUUAUUACAGUACUAAUAUUAUUCAAAAUGAUAAAGGUAGGUACAAAUUUUAAACUAUUUAACAAAGUACUGCUGUGUUUGUCUUUUGUUACAAAGGUAUAUUUUAUGUUCAGUUUAUGAUCUCUGAAAAUGAAUAUUAAGACUAAUAAAAAUUAUUUGGCUCUUUCUUGGACCCAAAACAACAGAUGGUGACUGCGGUAGGCUUGACUCCAGAGCCAUCAGCACACAAAGCUUAGCAAAAUGGCACAGAAAGAACCUACGGAGUGCUGAGCUGAGGGUCCCUUCACUUUGUAGGAACUACCCCGCUUUCAGCAAAUAGUAGGCUUAGGCAGCCACUCUUAUGCCACUGAGGCAACAUUGCAGUUGAGUGCUUUCCCAGGCGUUGGUGCCCUUGCCUCUUUUUGAGAGUGCCAUUGCUCUGUGAGAAUUCAUAACUAGUCUACAUUUAUAUAGCCGUAAUCUCUUACAAUAGCUUCAUUGAUACUUGAUUUCCAUAGAAAAGCUUUAUGGAUUCUAGUGAGUCACGGCUCUUGAAGCACCAGCCUACCCGUUUUCCCUCCCUUCAUCCCUUCCUCCCUAACUGUGAGUGGCUUUGUAUCCUGUGUUGUACUGAUUGUGCCUUUGGAUGACAACUUACUUGAGUGAUGGGGGGAGGCAGAAUAAUUUAUUAAAAGUAAUUACAAAGAAACCAAACAAAAGGAGUAAUUACAGUGCUGUUAAUACGCAAUUCGUUACUUUAUUGCUGAAAUAUUUGGAACUCAUUUGAGAUUCUUGGUCCUGUUUGUGGGUCUCUGAUUUUCCCUUGUAAAUCCCUAAUAAAUAAUGUAUUAAAGUUUCUGUACCCAGGUCUCAUUUUAGAUGAGGUUUCACAAAGUCUUAGCUUUGUUUGCUAUAUAUUUUUUUAAGCGGGACCAAGGAAUAAUUGCUGAUAAAAGGUAUUUUUGGUAGCCUCAGGAAGGAAAUCUGAUCUGUAUAAUUUACUGUUAAAUUUUUAUCUGUUGUAUAGAUUUAUUUAUUUUUCCUAAUUUCCCUAGCCAUUGAUUUUUUUUUUUUUUUUUUUUUUGAUACGAAGUCUCACUCUGUCCCCCAGGCUGGAGUGCAGUGACCUCCACCUCGCGGGUUCCAGCGAUUCUUCUGCCUCAGCCUCCCGAGUAGCUGGGACUACAGGCACAUGCCACCACGCCCCAUGCCCGGCUAAUUUUUUUUUGUUUUUAGUAGACAUGGGGUUUCACCGUGUUAGCCAGGAUGGUCUCUAUCUCAUGACCUCGUGAUCCGCCCACCUCGGCCUCCCAAAGUGCUGGGAUUACAGACAUGAGCCACCGCGCACAGCUGAUGUAUUUUUUUAAGACUGGCGUUUUGCUGGGCAUGGUAACUCACGCCUGUAAUCCAAGCACUUUGGGAGACUGAGGCAGGAGGAUCACUUCACACCAGGAGUUCGAGACAGCUUGGGCAACAUAGAGAGACCCCAUCACUACAAAACAUAAAGGAAGUAAAAAUUAGGUAUGAUGGUACAUGGCUGUAGUCCCAGCCACUCAGGAGGUUGAGGCAGUAGAAUCGCUUGAGUUAAUGAGUUAGAGGUUAUAGUGAGCUGUAAUCCUGCCACUACACACCAGCCUGGGUGACAGUGCAAGACCCAAACUCAAAAACAAAAACAAAAAAAAUCUAUAGUUUAAAAAAAAGUUCCAAGAUUUCUGUGUACUAAAAUUCCUUCCCAUUUUUAACUAGCAUAAUAAGGAAAGUUAAAGUAUCAUCAUCCACUUACCCACAUACACUUAUUUACAUAUUUUAAAAAGAAUCUUUGAAUGGAACUAUUCAUAUCAUAAUAGCUAACAUUUCCCAUGUGUCAAGCACUGUUCUAAAUCCAUUACAUGUAUCAGCUCAUGUAAAUGUACCAUUAAAGUAGUAUCACAACCAGCAAUAUGACAUUAGGAUGUUGUAGAGUGCAUCAAACACUUUUUGAAAGGGGUGAGGUGUAAAGAAGUCAAACAAUUGCUAUAAAAAAGAAUGCUUUGGGCAAAAUUUGAAAAUUCUCUUUAGUGCAGGUUAUUGACAAUCCUAGACCACCAGCAUAAAGCACACAUAUCUAAUUUAGGAAAAUCCCAGCCGGGAUGUAUUUGAAAACAUUUGGAAGGGUGCUGAUAAUUACACUACUAUUGAUUUUAGCAAGUUUGAUGCCAGCAGCCAUCAACUCUUCUAUGCCAUAAGAGAUGAAAGCCAUUUUUAUAUAAAAUGUUACAGUUCGGCUGGAAAAGGGAGGCAGGCAGAGAAAAAUUUCGUGGCUUUUUUGUUACUUUUAUAGGAAGUAUUAGUUUCAUUCUUGUGACAGAAUGCUUUACUUGGCAGUCAUUCUCAUCGACAUUUUAAGGAGCUGCUGUUUUGUGCCUGGGUCUCAUAUGGCACUAAUAAGGUGCAUUUUUUUCUGUAGCACGUACUGAUGUCUGUGUGGGCUCAGGCCUGCCAUUGUUUCCAUUCAUCUUGUAUUGGAGGAGGCUGACAGCAGCGUGUAUCGAGUCUAGCCAACAUAUAUUUCCUUCUGGAAAUAUAUGUUCAGGGUCUGUGCCCACAGAAGAGUUAAACUCAAGCUUUUAAUCUCCAACACUUAGAAAAAGGCCUGGCCACAUGCAGCCUCAAUAAGUAUUUGUUGAAUGAAUUAAAUGAAUGAAUCCCACAAAUGGCAUUUAUUUUAUAAACUCAUACCUGGCUAUUGCAUUAAAAAUUUUUUUUUCGCUAUUCAGGUUUUUAUUUAUUUUGUUUUUUUUUUUAACGUUAGAGGUUUUCAUCAAAGUAUAUUUGGUAGAGUUUUCCUGUUUUUUUGGGGGGUGGGGGGCAGGGCGGUUAUCUCUUAUCUUUUCUAUAAAGAGAGCUUGGAUUCCUAAAGACCUUAUACUGGUCCCAACUGUACCACCUAAUCAUGUGUCCCUUGAGUUUGUCACGUGACCUUUGCUUUCCUCUGAAAAUCCUUUUACUCAGUAGGCCAAUUAAACCCAUUUAUAAUAAUUAAUAAAAUCAGUAUGUUUGACUUCAAGUUUUUCCCUUAGUUUUAUGAUUUUUUAAAAGUAUUAUCCUUUUUUGGCAUUUAGGAAGGCAUCUAUUUUUGUUUUAAUGGUUACUUUGAUGUAAUACUUUUUUUUCCUGCUCUUGUGUAUUGAUUCCCGCUGUGAGUGAUAAAUCAGUCAUUUACCUUUUCUUCCCCCUCCUCUCUUUAUUUUCCAUCAUAUAACUUGAAAUAUUAUCCUUUUUUUUUACUUCCUGUAAAUACCUGUAAGACAGUUGGCCGGCGGAUUGUAUUUUCAAUAUAAUCUCCUCAUUAUUCCCUUCUUGAUGGUUGGACUGUGUCUACAAUGUCAGAGCAUAUAGGCAUUACAUACUAUGCUGUACCCUUUAUAAAAUCACUUAAGUUUUAAUUCUGCGGGUUAUAUUUAAUGUUCAUCAUCUGCUUUUAGAUUGAUGUCUUUUCAGUCAAUUCUGAAGCUUGUUUUCUAGUAGAUUUCUCAGGAAGAGCUUAGAACAGCUAUAGUCCCGGUUUUUUGCAUGUUUUAAGUUUGUGCUGUUUAUACCUGAAGGUCAUGUCGGCUAAAUAAGAAAUCCUUGGUUCACAUUUUUUAAUUUAAUUAUCUAAAGUCUGUUACUCCAUUGUCAUCCUGCAUAAAGUCUCAUGCUGGUCUCAUUUCUUUCCCUUGGGGAGUGACCUGGUCAUUUUUCCUGGACACCCAGAUUUUUUCUAUACAUUCCAAUAAUUUUAGUUUAAUAUGUCUCAUUGUGGGUUACUUUUCCUGGUUGUCACUUGGCUUUUGAGCUUUAUUUUCCUUGUCUGUAAAAUGAGAAUAACUUUUUUGUUUUGCUUGCUCACAGUAGAUAUGAAGCCAAAUAAGGUAUUGUAUAUGAAGUGCUUUAAGUGUUUUAUUUUACUAUCUUGUUAUCCUUUAAAGUUUCUUGUUAUUAGGAACUUUGAAAUUUAGACAGCCCGAGCAACAUGGCAAAACCUUAUCUCUACCAAAUACAAAAAUUGUCUGGUCAUGGUGGCUCACGCCUGUAAUCCCAGUACUUUGGGAGGCCAAGGUGGAUGGAUGGCUUGAGUCUAGGAGUUCAAGACUAGCCUGGGCAACAUAGCGAGAUCCCAUCUCUAGAAAAAAAAAAAGAACACAAAAAUUAGCUGGACGUGGUGGUACAUGUCUGUGGUCCCAGCUCCUCCAGGGCUGAGGUGGAGUGUCCCUUGAGCCUGGGAGGCGAAUGUUGCUAUAAGCCUAGAUCGUGCCACUGCCUUCCAGCCUGGGUGACAGAGCAAGACCCUGUUUCAAAAAAAAAAAAAAAAAGAAACUUAAGAGUACUUCAUUUUAUGAGUGUAUGGACUUGAGUUGAUGUUCUGUCUGUGAAAAGUAAAUAGUGGCUACCCAGUGAGUCUUCUAUGUCCCGACAGUAAAUAACCUUUCCCUGAUUCCAUGUGGUAAGCAGGAUCUCUGCAUCUACUCAUGGAGGACUACUACUGGAUUGAAGGAAGUGGUGCUUUCUGAAGUACCUCAUCUAGAAAACUCCAUUUCCAUUUAUCUUCUCACACUCUUGCCUGUCAUGUUAGUUCCCCACUCAGAACUCUGGGUUUACAUGAUUUCAGUUUAUAUGUGCAUAGAGAAACACUGGAAAAAAUUAAAGUAGUCUAUUUUUCAGAUAAUGAGGAUUGCUGAAAACCUAAGUCAGCCUGAACAACCAGUACAUUUUCUUGAAUUUAUUGUACAUAAGCCCCCUACGUAAGAGGCUGCUGGAAAAUACCAAAGAGACAUGAGAAAUGUCAUUUCUGGCCAUGGGGAGAUCAAACACACAGCAUAUCAAAGAUCACUUACAAAGCAUCCUGUGAUAAAUAAAUCCACAGCAGCAUAACACAAACUAAAGACAUGAGUAUAUGAUGCAUUUUUACCCGAGGCUACCCUGGGCUAGAGUUUCCAUGCCUGGUCUUUGUUUUGAUAAAGCAACACUUUACACAUGUAGGCUGGAAAUUAUGGUGGGAAAUUGGAUAAUUGAAUUAACUGAGUCCAUUUUAGUGCUUUUACCUGGUUUGUAAGCACAGAUAGGGGUUUGAUUGAUGUAUAUGUAAAUAGUGUUAGUGUCUUUAUUUGAAUAUAUGCUUUUAAAAAUUCAUCUAUGUUUUGCAAGUAAAGCUGGAACCUAUUAUAGAAGUCCUGCUGACACCUGUGAAUCAAGAUGAUUUGGAAACCCAAGGCCAGAAAUGUAAUACUGUUGAUUAUUCUGUGCAUAACACAUUUCUUAUUAAAUUCUAUAUUUAUUCAAACAAUUUACAAUUUUUAUUUGAUGUUCACAACAUACAAAACCCUGAGUCAGGAGUAGAGAAUACUGAGAUGAAUAGAAUAGUUUAUAGUUAGAAGUAGAAAACUAUAUAGGAUAGGAGAGUUUAUAGAUAGAUGUAGAAAACUAUUAUAGGAUAGAAGACAGAAUUGAAUCACACCUGUAUCAGAGGGGCAGAAAAGUGCAGGAGGUAUCGGAACAGUUUGGAUCUCUAUAAGGGAAGUCAUCACUUUGGGCUAUUUUCAUUGUCCAUAAGCCCUCCUUCAGGCUGAUAGCAGGAUACAAAUACUUGUGCAGUUUCAUUCAACUCUUGUUGUUUUGUAUAAUCGAGGAUACCAUAAUUUGUAUUCUCAAAAUCCAGAUUGCCUUCAUGAGCACAUACUCAGUAUGAAAUUUUUUUUCUUCUAUUUUUAGUAGAGACAGGGUUGCACCAUGUUGGCCAGGGUGGUCUCGAACUCCUGACCUCAAGUGAUCCGACUGCCUUGGCCUCCCAAAGUGCUGGGAUUACAGUUUUGAUUUGAAGUUCCUUUAAAGGCUGUUGGAGCUUUUGCAAAUACCCAGCUAAUGAAAGGCACUUAAGAUUGGGCCCAUCUGCAUCAUCACAUUGAAGUUUUCUGUCUAAAGGAAGGUUCCAGCUACCUGUUAUCCUUUUGCUAAACACAGUUGCAGUGUUGCAGUGUAUUUCAUGACAAAAGUGCACUCUAGUUUUCUGUGAAAUGAUUAUUUUCUCUGAAAUGAUUCUUGGUCAUGUUGAGCUUCUAAAUGUUAAAGAGAACAUAGUGCUUUUGACCUGUGGAAAUCUCAUCUUGGUACCAUGGUGCUGCACAGACCAUCAGGAAGAACUGAAAAGUUCAGGCAACUUGAGAAAAUAAAGUCACCACCAGCAAGAAGCUGUCUAAAAUAACUGGAAGAUUAUAACCCAAGCACGUGGAGGAGUGUGCUAGUGAGUAGAAUGUUAUGAAAGCUACUAGAGGUCCUCCAUAGAUGCAUGUGCUAGUCCUAAGGAGAAGGAAGAGGAGAAGGAUUGCCACGGAGGAACACCUGAAGUUUCAGUUGAGCACUUUGUUUGGAAAGUUGUCCAAGGCUGGAGUUGUGAGAGCUGGGAAAGACCUCACAAGCUUCUCUAAUUCAAGUCCUUGUUUCACAUAUGAGAAUGCAGAGGCCCUGAGAAGUUGAUUCCCAGGCCUGCAUGCUGGCCUGGAACUAGAGCCUGGGUCUCCUCUUGCUUUUUCCAGCUGUCUGCCCAGGUAGCUCCCCAAGGCAGGCGUGGAGGCAGAGCUGCUUUGGGUUCCAGGGGGCAGGUUUGGGCUGGGGCCUGCUGUGUGACCCCAGUCUCCCAUCUUGGAUUGAAGCUACAUCGCUGUGUGCAUCUAACUCUUGAUUCACGGUCUGACCGACGCCUUGGUUUCUGGAGAACUGCCCUCGUUUAUGGAAGAGUCACUGUCAUCAGGAGCCAUCCCAGGGAGAGGCUCAGUGGGAAGUGUAAAGGUGGAGCAAGCAAACCGGCUCCAGAAGAGAAGGCGAAGAAGGACUGUUUCUGUUUAGAUUUGCUUAACCUCAUUUUCACUUUCUUGGGAACCCCUGAUGGAGUUCAAGGUCAUAGAAGAGAAGAAGUCAGACACUGCUACAGGCCUCUUGCUCUUGGUUCAGAUUAUUCAAUGGGAGGGGAGAAGAGAGUAGUCGCAAGUGAUUGUUGUAGAUUUUGUCUCAGCUUUUUUUUUCUUCUUUGUAUCAAACCUGUUUUGAGAUCAUACAGUGUUACAGAGAAAGAGAGGAGGCAUAUUAUAAACAUGUGUGGACUUCAGUGUUAUUCCUUCUCUUCAAAAUGAUGUUCCAGGUGUCUAGAGGGUGAGGUAUGUCAUUUACAUGAAGGUUAAGAAUAAAACAGAAAGUGCCUCUAUGGUAUUCUUAGUGGGGUUUUUUUCCUCUGAAAAACUGUUGCCAGCAUAUUUGGGAAUACAUCCUUAUAUUAUUAUUUUUGAGAUGGGGUCUCUGUCGCCAGGCUGGAGUGCAAUGGUGCGAUCUUGGUUCACUGCAACCUCCACCUCUUGGGUUCAAGCGAUUCUCCUGCCUCAGCCUCCUGGGUAGCUGGGACUACAGGUGCCCGCCACCAUGCCUGGCUAAUUUUUUUUGUAUUUUUAGUAGAGAUGGGGUUUCACCGUGUUAGCCAGGAUGGCCUCGAUUUCCUGACCUCAUGAUCCGCCCGCCUUGGCCUCCCAAAGUGCUGGGAUUACGGGCGUAAGCCACCACGUCUGGCCUAUUUUGUUUUUUUUUAAAGACAGUUCAUUAUUGUCUAUCUUAAUAUGUUAGAAAUCACUCAAAAUAAAGCAGCCGUUUUAACAAUAGCUCAGUAGAAAUAGUUUAUUUGUUGAGAGUGUUUUACUUCCCAAGAAGUUUUUUGAUGUAGUUUUCUUAGCAAGAAAAAUGUUUGUCUGUUGUGGAUGGAAACAUUUCCCCCCUUGCCCAGAACAUGUGUGGUUUCCAUUAACUUAUUUUUCCAUAGAACUUUGGCCAUGGCUGCAGCUGAUGCUGUGGGUCACCUGUGCUAUUAGGGUUAAAUUGAGAUCUUAAGGUACCUUUCUCCCCGCUAUAGUCCUGAAUGACAUGGGUUUGUGAUCAGACAAACUGAUUGAAAUCCCACCUUUUUGCCCCUCACCGGCUUUUUCACGCUGGACCGACUCGCUUCUCUAAGUCUCAGUUUCCUCAUCUGCAAAACAGACUUCUCGGGAAAACAUUUUGCACAGAGCUGCCCCUGGAUCAUGGGUCGCAGACAGUAGUAAUUAACGUUACUGGGGAAUGGGCUUUUCCAGUACUGUUUUCAGACUUAAAGUCAUUUGUUAUCUGUGGUGUGUUAUGGGAACAGAAGAUGUUCCUGAGAGCUGAUAGGAGAGACCAGGAAGUGUAGCUGCAGGAAGAAUGACGAUGAGGACACGUUUGGAACAUCAGUGUGGCGGAUGUGGGCCAGCUGAAGUGUCCCCAGCAUUAAGACUGGGAAAGCAGCCCAGUCACUUCUCUAGUGGGUCCCAGCCACAGGUGCAGAGGACGCCUGCCUCCCAGGCAGACCCAGGAAGCUGCCCCAUGGGGCCACUCAUGCCCUAGUCAAAUACUGCCUCAGGUUCAGUUGGAAGUUUCCAGUCGGCUCCUCCAAAGGGAGUUUUAGUUGAAGUCACUAGAGCUGUUUUACUGAUUUGGGUUGAGGUCUUUGCGAGCUCAAUUUACAAAAAGUCUGGUUAUCCACAAAAAAAUGCUUGCUGGUGUCCUGAGCAACUGAAGAAUUCCAGAAAGCUUUCAACAACAAGUGUUGAGAUCUCCCCUGACCCCCGCCUCCCAGCAACUACAGAGGUCUGAGUUUGCAGUAACUAUUAUUCUUGUGUGGAAUUGGCUCUGGAUCGUUAAUAAGUUUCCCUGAGCGCUGACUAACAGAAACCCACUUAGUCACAGAAGAAAUGGGUCCAGUGUUUGUCCCAGCUAUGAGUAAUGGGUUAUGCAUGAUUUAAAAAGGCUUCUCAGAAAGGCCUUGCUUAUGUAGUCAAGGAUCAAUAUUUUUGAAAAGAAGUUUUUAUAGGUAAGCCAUAACAUUACUUGAUAAUCAGACAUCAUUUUCAAGUAGUUAAAAGGGUCAUUGGAUAAAGCCCAGUGGACCGACAGUGGCUUCCUAAUUGCUAAGGGCUGAAACUCCACAUGCCCUGUAAAUUAUGAGCAUGCUUGAAUUUUUUAUGGGAAAAGAAAUUAUGGUUUUAUGUCGGAUAAUUUUCAUGUCAAAUGUUAGAUCAGCCAGCCGGCUCUAUCAUCCAGGCAGGUUGCUGUUUUUCCCCACCUGAUCCCUGCUUUUCCUUGAGAAGUUUAUUUUAAAUGGAGAGUCAGGAAUGAGAGAGAACGUAGGAUAGGAAUGAAUCAUGAGAAAAAUGCCACCAGUUGUUUUCCAUAGUCCAUGUCCUUGUUGGAAUAUCCUUACCUUUGUCAACAGAGAGCAGCAGUUCAGCCACAAGCUCGUGAGCAGCCACUGGCAGCACUGCCUCCAUGAGGCCUCGGGAGCAUUCUCAUUGUUUUCUCCAGGCUGUGCUGUUCUUCCCCUCAGCCUUGAGAGUGACCAGGGAUCUCCUAGGCCUAGGGAAACGCCACCUGGUCAUUGGCCAGAGCCGUUUCUAGAUAUGGUAUUUGACCCCUGUGCGAGUACCGACCGCCCAAGAGCUGGCAGUAGUUUUGUACUCUGAGCCUGAGCAUGUGGCCCCACGUUCCAUGAGGCCUUUGGCCGGUUUGUUUGCCAGAGUGUCUCUGAGAGGAGGGAGAAUGUUGGUAUGGAGAAUAAUUUUAUUGCUUUCUUCUCAAAAUAAAGGAAAUACUCAAGGGAAUGGUGGGAGGGGAGGGGAUAAAUAUAGCGUUUCCGAUUUCCUGCUUCCUCUACUCUUCCACAGCAUUUCACUUUUCAUACGGUUAGAUUUUCAUCCUAUCGACUUCAGCUAAAAAUAAUUCCAACCAUUUCUAUCAGAUUGGCCCUCUUAUCAUACUUGUUAUUAUUUUGCUUUCCUAUUCAAAACCUUUUUUUCCCCUUAGGCCAAUGAACUGUUUUACUUUAUUAGCUUCAUAUUUAUUUAUUUGUUAUUGAUGGAUAAUAGAUAUACAUAGUUUUAGGGUACAUGUGAUUUAGUACCAUCAUAUAAUUUAUAAAAAUCAAAUCAUUAUAUUUGGGAUCUCCAUCAACUUAAAUAUUUGUCUUUUCUUUAUGGUAGAACCAUUCUCAAUAGCUUUUCCACAGGGAGUAAAAGAUGGUCUACAGUGCUCACCUGCUGCACCUGGUGCAUGUGUCAUGGUCUUAUGGCUGGGGCAGUCUUGGUGUCCUGGCUUUUGGAUGGUCAGAAAUUCUGGCUUGUCCUUGCUCUUCCUUCUCCCGUGAUCCAUUUUCCCAGCAGAGGCCAUUACAUAUGCUGGUGUCCCCCUACUCCUUCCAGCCUUCUGUUAACAGAUACUGUCAGCCCACAGCCACUGCAGACGUGGCCCAUUGCUACUUCCUUGUCCACAGCAACAGUGCUGGAUACGGCUCAGUGCCUUGUCAGACAGACAGGAGUUGUUGAUGAGUCUGCAAAGCAGAGCUGGUAGGUUAGCUGCCAGAGCUGACCCCACUGAGCAAAGCAGUGAGUUUAGUAGGUACUUGGCAAAAGUUAAUUCAUCAGGAGUUGGGAGAAAAGGUGCAAGAAAGGUCGUCUUAGAUUAUUGGGCAUGAGCUGCCUGCUUACCACAUUGGUAUUUUCGUUUUGUAUAAUUAUUAAGUUGAUAGUGAUUUUAACAAAUAAAACAUAACUUUGAAGUUUGGGAGGUAAGUGACUUGUGUAAGGUUUUAGGUUACAUGAGCUAAAGAUAAGAAUUUCUGUAGUGUCAUUUCCUAAUUGUUCAGAGUGCCCAUUAUGCUUAGCCUAGGUGUCUUGCUUGGGUUUGCCCAUUCUAAAAGUCCUGUGUUCCUAGGGCAGUGGUCAUGAUCAUCACUGGACUCUGCCAGUUCCCAGGCCCCAGCACUGCCUCCGCCGGCAGCAAGCAGUAAUAAGUAAGCUCCGCGUGGUUAAGCCUAAUAGGGCUGUGACCCAGUUUGAACUCCGUAAUGAGGAAAGAGCAGAUUUAUUUGCUCCCCUGCAUGCCUCCCUCCCCCGUGUUCCUUUAUUAUCUUUAGAGGAAAUGGAAUAGCAAAAUUCUGCAUUCUCAUAAUGCUAAUGGACUGAUGUCAUCUUUUCCACUCUGAAGUCAAGAAAGUAAGAGAAAACCGGAAUAUAGAUUUAACACUUCAUAGUUACCCAGGGCUUCAGCACAGGUUCUUUCUAUGUAUAUAUAUGUUUUUAACAACUUUAAGGCGUAAUUUACGUGCCAUAAACAAUUCACUGAUUUUAAGUAAGUUAGCUAAGUUGUGCAACCAUCACCACAAUCUAGUUUUAAAACAUUUCCAUCAUCCCAGAGAAACCCCUGGCGUCUAUCACUAAUCACUGCCUAUUUCCCCCUCUCCUCAUCCCUAGGCAACCUGUAAAUCUACUUCUUGUUUCUGUAGAUUUGCAUUUUCUGGACAUUUCAUAUCAGUGGAAUCAUAUAAUACAUGGUCUUCCGUGUUUGUUUUCUUUCACUUAGCAUAACGUUUUGAGGUGCAUGCAUGUCGCAGUGUGUAUCGCUGUGUUCCCUUUAUUCCUGGACAGUAUUCCAUUUUAUGGUUACACCACAUUUUAUCUGUCUGUUCACCAGUUGAUGCACAUUUGGGUUAUUUCCAGUUUAGGGCUGUAGUAAUGCUGCAGUAAGUACAGAUGAGUUGUUAAAUGAACAUGUGCUUUUACCUCUCUCCGAUAGAUGACCUAGGAGUCACGUAAGUUGAGUAAAUUUAUAUGAGCAGUUGAGUAAAUGGAGUGAUUUAAGAAGCCUAGAUUGUUUUCCAAAGUGGCUAUACCACAUUACCUUCCCACCAGUGAUGAACAAGGGUCCCAGUUUCUCCACAUCUUUGCCAUGAGCUGUAAGGAAUAUAACCUUAACUGUUGAUUUGUUUUAUAUUCUUAGGUACAGAAGAAAGCUAGGAACUAUUUUAAGGUAUUUACAGUUUUUCAAGCAUUGUUAACACAUGUUAAUUAAAACUGUAGGCUGGGAGUGGUGGCUCACGCUUGUAAUCCCAGUACUUUGGGAGCUGAGGCGGGUGGAUCACUUGAACCUAGGAGUUCGAGACCAGCCUAGGCAACAUGGCGAAACCCCAUCUCUAUAAAAAAAUACAAAAGUUAGCUGGAUACGGUGGCAUGCACCUGUGGUUCCAGCUACUUGGGAGGCUGAGGUGGGAGGAUCGCUUGAGCCCAGGAGUUCAAGGCUGCAGUGAGCUGUGACCACACCACUAUACCCCAGUGUGGGUGACAGAGCCAGAGUGAGACCCUGUCUCAAAAAAUAAUAAAAUAGAAUAAUAAAAUAAAUAAACUUGUAGUCUUUGAUGCCUAUCCUCCCUACUCUCUAGGUUCUACCACCAGUCAUGCAUGCAACAGUUAAACACAUUCCAUUUAAUUAUGUUUUUUUCUUGUGGACUUGAUAUAAAGUAUUGAGUUGAUGUGUGUAUGUGAUAUUGUCUAAAUUAAGUUUACUUUGAGAAGUGAUUUUUUUGGUAUUUUGAAUUCUUUUUUUUAGUUCUGUUACUCAAACCAAUGUUUGUCAGUUUGUAUUUCUGAUUAUACACAUUGUUUUAAUGUAGAAAAGACACGUGUCUGUAGAGCCAUGUUUUGGGAUGCUUUAAAUAAUUAAAUAGUGAAGUUCUAGGUGUUAAAAUUUGGUAGCUUUUAAGGAUUCUGUAUUAAAAAUGCAACUAGCAGUAUCUGUAUGAAUCUAGGCUAUCUCCAAAAGCCUUGCAAAAGUUGUGCAGGAAACUUUAUCACAUCAUUAGAACAUGGCAGGGGUUACUACGUUUUCAAGUCCAAAUGACCAGAGUUUCUCAUUAUUUUUGCUUAUUCUAGAAUUUGCAGGUAUUUUUAAUUUUGGCAGUGAGCAAAUCAAGUGAACCUAUUUUUCUAAAUAAGUCGUAUCAUCAGUCAUGACAGAGCAUUCCGGUGAAAUAACCCUCUCGUCGUGGGUGAAGUUCAGGACCACCCUUUGGGUCUCAGCAGAAUCAUGAGCCUCAGAACACUCAUUGCAGGCCUGUUUAUCUUUCAAAUUUGUGCUUGUCCAAAUAUUCUGAAGCGGGGCAUGCAGUCUGUCAAGAGGAAAAGAUGAGAGGCAUUCCAGUUCACACCUAGCACCCAGGUGCCCAGUGCCAGAAGUUCAUGGGAGGAAAAUAGUGACAGAGAUGAUUUUCUUAGGGUCUGAUAUCUGAAUAAACAACCUCAACUGAACACAAUUUACAUCAAUUAUUUUGGCCUCCAGAGGCGCUUUUGUCAUGUGGUGGCGGUUUGUUAUAAAGGAACGGUUCUCAUAGGGCAGAAUCACCCUCGUGGGAGUGAUGUGGGUGCUUUGUGAUCGGGGUGCUUUGGCCAUGGGUGUGUGGAGUCCAGGCGCACUAUGCCUGUGGUGCACAGUGCAUUCCAGCAGACUGGAGAAUUACGCCACUACCCACACAGCCUUCAGGUGCCAGCUGGAGAGCUGUACAGGUGAAAAACUGGUGUCUAAUAUUUGGGCUUAGAAACUCUUUUAUGUACACAGUUUUAAUAUUGACUCAGGUUUCUGGGAAUGAGUCUGAAGGGUAAAUCUGGGAAGAUUGUAUUUUGUUGAAUUUUUCCAAGAGUUACUUGCCAUUUCAGAAAAUCUCUUUUGCAGUGAGAAUGCAUUUGUGAUGUCUGAGUGACCACCUGCCACAGCUGCUUCAGUUUGCAUUAACAGCUGUGUGUUAGUGGGGAUUCUCCAGGCAGCCCACUGCUUCACUGUUGUAUUUAAUAGGGUACUCAGGCAUCAGCUUGUAAAUAUUGACGUCCAUAUUAAUGCUUUAUAACUCACUUUUCUUUUAAUUCCGCUUUCUAUUGUAGAUAGAGCGUUGUAUUAGAAUUUCCCUGCCCAAUUGUGUACAUUAUUUGUGUUAGGUUAUCCAAGAAUUCCGCGAGAGCCAUUGGCCCCAGAUGUCCGCAGUGUUUUGGUCCAUAUUACUGAGAUACUAGCCUAGUGUGUCUGGAAGGCAGCGCCAGCUGGUGAGGAACGCACGUGGGGCAGAGUUUCCAGGUAGCUGUGUGGGCAGGUGCUGUGUGGCAUUGAGCUGUCCUCGUUUGCUGAAAACUGAUUCUCUCAGGGGCUUGCCUGGGACUCCCUAGGAUGUGUUCCUCUAUACUUGCUGCCGUGACCAACAUGAAAUCUCCUGUCACCGUGCACUCUCUUGGGGAAACUGGGGGUGCCAGAAGACCAGCCACACAUUUCUGAGAAGAGGUGAGGGUGAGAGGCAAUCAGGCUGGCAGGCCUCAGGUGGACAUUACUGAAUUCCUUAUGGGCAUUGUGUAGAUGUAUACAUUAAAUCAUUCUACCAGUCUGAAUUUUCCUGGCCUUUGUCCUUUUGUCUGCGUGUGUUACUGAUGAGGAGCCAUGCCCUGUAAACCGGUGUGGCCCCUUCCAAAGCCUGUGUUUUCUCAGUAGGGUAAAGUUACUCGAGAUCCUCAAGUGUAAGUGCCGUUUCUUUUUUGUGUGCUGCGUGUCACCCUCCUGGGCCCUCACACCUGCCAUCCAUUCAGUGCCAUGCCAGUCACUCCUUCACCCCCAGAAUUUGAGAGACGCCAUGUGUUAGCAGCUCCUGUUUCAGCACUGAUUGGAGUUUCUAAGUUUUCCAGUAUUUGUUGUCCUUCUUUCAUUUGUUAUUUAUAUUUUGGGCAUUUCAGUGUUUUGUAAGCAUCUUCUCCAGCAGCUUAUCAGGGGCAUGGUGAGAAUUUAAAAAGGAAAGUUACUCAAGGGAAGGAGGUUGAAAUUCAUUUCAAUUUAAUUUAUAAUAACCAAAUCUGUUAAUAUGAAAUCCAGGUGAUAGUCUGGCCUCUCUUUCGUAGUGCUUGUCCUGGGAGACGAGUGGCAUUACUGAUGGUGUGCCCAGCACUCCUAAGUAGGGAGGCCCCCUGGGAGUCCAGUUCAUGUUGCUCAAGUUGUUGAAAUCUGGAUUUGAGUGCUGAGUUGACCAUUGCAGCCGUGGUAUGAUUCUGGUCUCUGCAUAAAGUAACCAAGCUUUGUUUUCUGGUGUGAUACCUUUCCUGUAUUUUUAUUACAGUUCAGCAUAUUUAGUUUCUUGUUUUAAACCAACUCAAGAUAAGAAAUUUAACUUUUUUUCCCCCUGAAUAUCAAAGUGAUACUGUCUGUUAGAGAAAAUUCUGAAAAUAUGGGAAGGUAUAAAGAAGAAAUUUCAAAAUUACCAGUAAUCCAGUCACUCAACCAGCUACUUUUAGUAUUUUGAUUGUCUUUUAAGAAGAAUAAUUAUUGAAGAAGAAUGGGAGUGUGUUAUAUAUUUGUGACUUUGACUUUGUGACUUCAAAGGUGGUUUCAUGCAGGCUACUUUUUAAAAAAAUAAUUGAAUUCAGUUAUUUUGAAAUUCUGCUUUUUUGGAAAGAUCUGUUAGGUACAUUUCAUAAAAAGUAACUUCAUUGACCAUGAGUACUGGAAUUCAGCAUUUAACUGCAGCUGUAGUCCUGGGGAUAUGUAUACCUUAACUGAUGCCAUUUGAUAACCAUCUCCUGUGCCCUGGAGUAAAUGGCUGUAAGUGCAGAGCAGCGUCUGAGCCUCAUGAAGGGAUCGUGUCGGACUGUGAGAGGAAGGUUUGUGCAUUCGUCCUUUACCUUUGCCUUUCUGCAUGUGGCCAGUGAUGUAAAAACUGGCAGCAGCCAUCCUUCUUCCUCUCUGUGUCUCUUCUUCCUCUCUGAACAUGAAUCAAACAGGCAUCCAUUUCACAAUCUCAGGGGACACUGCCAGCUCCCCAUCAUGACUUGUGUGUUUAGUUUGUAGGCGCAAUAUGGAAAUUAUGGAAGAUGAGCUUCAAGGUUCAGCAGUUAACCGUGGGUCUAUUUCUGCUCUACUUUAUGGGUUACACUGAAAUGGAUACUCAACUUAUUUCUAAGAAAUAUGCAGUUACACAGCUGUCUCCUGCUUUCUGGCUUUUAUUAAAAUGCAAAUAGUCCUCACUUCAAAGUAGCAUAAUCAAAUCCUGAAAGAAGUAUAACUGAUACUUUGCCUCCUCUCUAGUAUUUCCACUAUGUUGUCUGGCCUGGCUGGCUUUUCCGACCCUUCUCGGCUAGGCUUGAUCCCAGGCUAGUGGAAAGUGUGGUGUUCACAGUGUGCAGUUUUACCCUGGGUGUGCAGUCAUAUGCACCCCCACAUGACAUGAGCUCUGGUGGUGUUAACAGCACAAAGUGUUAAAUAUAAAUAUGUGUGGCCAAAGAAUGUCAAUUAUUUUGGCAGUUAAUAGAUUUCUCUGCAUUUACCAGUAUGUAUUUAGUGAAGUGAAGUCAGUGCGUCGGUCUGCCUUUGUUCUUCACAUGUCUACUCUUUUAGUUUAAAAAGAAUGUCAUGAAAGUGAAGUAGUUUCUCUUCUCUCCUAAACAUCCAAUCACGGAGCGUGUUCUGGGUGGGCAUUCUUCACGUGUACCCAGAAUGCCAGAACACGACGUCAUCUAGGUCUUCAUUUUAGUGUGAUUAGAAGCUAAGUCCCUCAGCAUUUUUUAAUAGAAACUGAUACCCGAUUUAAACAUCACCAUCUAUCAAAGCACAAGAGCCCAGCUCUGUGCCAAUGCCCCGGCAGUGGCCAACUGGUGGGGAGUGAGGACAGAACUGCACACUUUUGCAGAUCAAAGGGGGCUGUUGGAUUUUACUACUCUACACGUAACUGAUGAAUUGCUAAAGCUCACCUGUGCACCUUAAAUCCUGUUCAAGCCCAAUUCUCCAGGUAGGGGGGAAUUAAAACAUAAGCUCCCUAAGCUGCUGCUGGAUCAUGUCAUUUCAUGCUCCCUUUUGGAAAUGUGUCCCAGUUCAAACAAGUGAACACUGUUUGCUCCUCUUGUCUUUUGACUUGUCCCAGAUAACUGGAGGAUUAUCCUGUUUGUGGACCAUGUGCCACAACUGAGGGGCUUUGAUGUUGCAGAGCCCCCGCCUCUUCUUUUGAUUACAUGUGUUUCUGCUAAAGACAGCUUUUUUCAGUGCUUACAGGGGCAUGAAUAAGUGGCUCAGUGUCCUGUAGCUUUUUGUACUUUGUGGUUUCUCUCAUCCUGUUACAUUAACCAUAACAUGGAAAGGGGCAUGAUCAGAAGGUACAUGUCCCAGGAAAGCAAACUAACUGGGGGGCCCUGAAACCCUCCAGCAGGACUCGCGGUGAGCCUGCAAACACACUUUAUCGUGUGUGUCUGAGAAAAACCCCACUGCACCUGGCCAGCGGAGGCCACCUGCUUCUGGCCCUUCCUUUUCAGGCCACCCCCACAUGGAGUGGUAGAUAGGCCUCUUGGCUUGAGUGCUGUGGCCAGCCAGGUGUUCACAGGUGCAGGGGAGCUGUUCUGGGCCAGACAGACUGGCAGACCUCGCAUGGCCCAUCAGGAAGCCUGUCCACCUCCCAGGGAAAUGAAGCAGAUACUGCAGCAUUGGUUUUCAAGUGAGGCUUUCAGAUAUGUUAUCUGUUAAGUAAACUCUGCCAUUCAAAGGUAUUACUGAAACAAAAGCCAGAGAGUGAAAUGUGAAAACGUUCUCCUCUGUCCUAUGGUGAGCCAGUGAAAGGUAGCGAUGUGCACUACCAGAGGGUCCUUCACCUUGGGUGUACAGUGGGCUAGUUGGAGAAUGUUUCUCUUGAGGAGCUGAUGUUCUCCCAGGCUACUCUGCUCUAGGCACAAAACCUCACUUUGGAAUACUUCACCUGCAACAGAGCCUGUUUUGUAGCUAGUAAAUACUAGGUGUUACUUAGGAAUAAAUAACUGGCACCCGAAUCAGUAGGUAAAUACAUGACUAAGUGAGGGGAGGGUGGUUUGGAGUUGUUCCCACCUCUGUGCUUUUAUUUUAUGACAAAACAGCCUCAUCAGUGAUGUUACAGGACGUGCAGCCCUGAGAGAGCCCCAGAGCUCUUUUCUGACCAGGCUAUGUGAUGGGCACGUGCAUGUAUAGGUGUGUGUAAUGGGGAUAAGGAUUCUUCCCUUACUGUGCCAAGUGCUAGAACACUAGAGUUCAUUUUAGAAUGGCUGUUUUUGGGAUGGCCACGUAUUGUUCAGGGAGAUUGCAGUUGGAAAAAGUGCAGUUGGAAGCACACCUGACAUGGUUGGGGGAAGGUGCCUGCAGCUUCAGCCAGCACAGCCAGCUAAGAAUAGCUCCUGUGCUAUGUGCUGUUAAUCUCGGAGACGGUUCCUUACCACUAGUCCAUGGAGUCUAGAGUUGGCCAAACAGAUAUAAGUCCGCUGUGUCCUCAUUUCACCUCUUCUUAUGUUCUACGCCUUUUUCUCUUGUACUUUUGUUCCUCUUUCUAGUGCUAACGUCUCCUCCACCUGUUUGUUCUGGUGCCGUGUGCUCAGCAUGUCUCUCCAUUCUCCUCUCUUACCCCCUAAAACCCCAAGUGGUGAUUCCUUCCUUCCAGCAAAAUGUACUCAUUCAGUUUCCCUCUCCUCCCUCCCUGUUGUGUUUCUCUACCAUUCUUUGAUAGGUGAUAUGAUGAGCCAGAAUUGAUAGGCUCAUGUGUAUGUGGUUCUGUCUCCAUCAUUCGGUGUGAUUCUUCAUGUUUAGAAAGGUUCCAUUUAGAACCUUCUUUAGAAAAGGUUCCAUUUCUAAAGAAGCUACAGUUCCCUAACUGAAGUUUCCUCCUUCGUAAAAAUGAAAUAGUAGGUUAAUUAUAUGACACUAUAAUUAAUAAUAAAGCCUGUAUUCUACUUAAUAUGUCUUUCAUCAAAAAGGCCACAUGGGAAAUUUUUGACAUUUAAAAAUUAUCUCUGAAUUCAGUCUUUGUCAGGGUUCAGCAAAUCACAAUACAGUGUUUCGUAUUUACUUUCUUUUGUAACAUUAUAGAAAUAAGAGUAUGAAAUACAUAAGGAUUCUACAUAUAGAAGUCACAGAAAUCAUUCUGUAUAUUCAGAAGUUAAACAUCCCCAAUUUCAUUUGUGAGCAGUUAAAUUUGGGGAUACUGUGAAAAUAAAUUUAUAUCAAAUUAUAUUAUUUGAUUAACCCAGUGGAGAUUUAAAAAUCUUAUAUAUUGUUUUCUCCCCUUGCUUUGCUGUCAGCUGUUAGUUCUGUGAGGUCAUUGAUGAUGACAGAAUUGCUGUCUAAAUGACGUACUGAAGACACUUCCCUGCCUUGUCUUCCAUUAGAGGUUUGGUUCUGAGUCCUGACGUUGAUACUGCUUUAUUCCAGGGUACCUAUUUGAAAACAAGGGAGUUUUCAGUUAUAUUUGAGACAUAGUGAUAUUAUUAUUUUUUGCUUGAAGCCAAGAUGUAGGUAGCGAUUGCUUCCACUUUAUUUUUACUGUACUUUUAUAUAGUAAUUUGGACAGGUGUCUUCAUAAAGGAGAUCUUUGACAAGGGAAAAUAGACCCAGACACCCAUUAAGACAUGUUUUCUCCCAUUUUCUCCUUCCUUGCAAUAUAGGUGGGUUUGAUAGAAUAGUAUUAGGAAAUACCAAAGAAUCUACCAAAUGGGUACAUGCUACUUAAGUGUCUGUACAGGUCAUUUAGAUGAGAGGAUUUGAGACCAUGCUUGUUAUAAUUUGAGAAUUAUACAUGGGUCAGGAAUGGCAUGAGGGCUGAGGUUGAAACAAUUUGAAAAGGAGAGAUAAUCAUGAAACUCUACUUGGAUAUUAAUAAUUUUUCCCUUGAAUCACACACAGUGGCCUGCGAGGCCUCAUUUUGGCUCAUCAGUUUUUAUAUGGGCUGAAGGCAUUUGUUUGGAAGAUGUAAAUACCCUUGUGUUUUUAAUAGGGAAAGGUUGGAUCAAGUUUGCUCUUAAUUCUGAUCAACUGACAGUCUUUGACUCAACAUGAAGCACACUGAGAUAAAGCGGAUCCUGGUUUGCUGAUACAGAUCUCUCAGAAGAGGAGCUUGAGAAGCGGGCCUUGCUGGGAUUUCCUCUAAUCGCUGCAUUGGAUUGAUUGAUAGGAUUCAGGUUUUGUUAUGAACUUGGGAGAGAAGUGGGAAGACAUCCAAUAACACCCAACAUUUCAUUUAAUAUUUGAAAGAAAACCAUUUCUUUUUCUUUUUUCUUUUUUUUUUUUUUAUACUUUUAAGUUCUAGGGUACAUGUGCAGCCUUGUUACAUAGGUAUACAUGUGCCAUGUUGGUUUGCUGCACCCAUCAACCCAUCAUUUACGUUAGGUAUUUCUCCUAAUGCUAUCCCUCCCCCUGUCCCCCACCCCAUGACAGGCCCUCAUGUGUGAUGUUCUCCACCCUGUUUCUGUGUGUUCUCAUUGUUCAGUUCCCACCUAUGAGUGAGAACAUGCGGUGUUUGGUUGAAAGAAAACCAUCCCUACAUUGAUGACAUACCAGUUUUCUCCUGAACCUGGACAUUAAUUGUUGGCAUGUUGGGAAAGUCUGCUACUGUGAUGUAUCUCGUAGGAGCAGUCAGCAGCCAGACCUAACAGUUUGAUGCAAUCAAGUUCAGGGCCAGUUGGAACAUCUUGAAAAAUCUAAGUAAAGGUAUGUAAGGUGGGUAGUAAAUCUCUAAGGAAUUUCCUUUGUAUUAGUGAUUUGCUGUUUUUUAAAAUAAAUCUCUUUGACACCAGCUUCAGAUAAUUUUUUUUUUUUUUUUUUUUUGAGACGGAGUUUCACUCUUGUUGCCCAGGCUGGAGUGCAGUGGCGCGAUCUCGACUCACCGCAACCUCCGGCUCCUGGGUUCAAGUGAUUCUCCUGCCUCAGCCUCCUGAGUAGCUGGGAUUACAGGCAUGCACCACCAUGCCCGGCUAAUUUUGUGUUUUUUUUAGUAGAGACGACGUUUCUCCAUGUUGGUCAGGCUGGUCUUGAACUCCCAACCUCGGGUGAUCUGCCCGCCUCAGCCUCCCAAAGUGCUGGGAUUACAGGCAUGAGCCACUGCGCCCAGCCCAGAUAAUUUUUUUUUUUUAAAGAAAUUGCUGUGUGGCCUUACUUGCUUGUCAGUAAAAGCAGGCACCGGCCCCCAGUCAUUCACUCAGUUAUGACAGACUUCCCUCCUACCACAUGCUUUCAGAUGCUUUACCCAGAAAAUAGGUCUGAGGGUGGUGAUUGUAGACCCCCGGGAGAGGUUUCCGUGAUGGUGGUCACACUGAGUUUUCUUGAAUAGAAGGGAUUAUGCAAAUAUUUGUGUUUUAAAUCUCCCUAGAUUUUUGCUGUCUAGUGAUUUAGAUGGCUUUAAGAAUUUUUGUCCUGUUUAAAGGUUCCUUUGUGAGGAUGUGCAUAUGAUCUUCUGUGAUCUCAUUUUCCCUAAGCCUAGGCUUGAGGACAGGUGGAAUCUUCCACUGAUCUUGCCUGCUUUCUUAAGAUUUUACCACUGAUUUCUCAGGAUAUUUUAAAACAUUUCAUAUUUGAAAGCAUGAAAAUAAAAUGCUUUAUUUCUUUAAGUUAUAAUUCAUGAAGAUGGAAUUUAUCUGAUAGGUCUUACUUGCUUUAAAUCUUUGCCUUUGGAAAAAAAAUUCCAACUUUUAAACAAAUUCCUAAUAGUAGUUGCCCUUUAAAUGACAAGAAUCAUAGUUGGGGGUUGGGGUGAGAGAAAAUCUUUCAUCUCUUUUAAAGGUAUUUAAUCUUUUUUAAAAGUUUCCUUACUUUUUAAUUAUCUUCAAAUAUCUGCCAUAAUGUAUGUGUUUACUUGCUCUUUAUAAACAACAGCAGCACUUCAUUCCUUUCGGUAAAUGUCAGAAUGUUGGGUUUUGUUUUAUUUCUCCUCCUCCUCCCCGCCCUCCUCUUCUUCCUCCUCCUCUUCUCCUUUCUUGUUCUUCUUUCUUCUUCUUCUUUUUUUUUUUUUUUUUUUUGUGGGGAAUAAAACUAUAGUUUGUUUCAGAGGUGGCCAAGCAUAGCUCAGCUGAGAGAUGGAGGGACAGCUGCUGCCUGGGCACCUUGGCUUAAAGUCACCCUGAAGGGACUGUGGGUUUUUAGAGAUCUUUUCAUCUUGUCAGUCUUCCAGCCUGGCCACAAGCUUGCCUUAGCAGUCUGCAGCCCGUGUGCCAUCUUUUGACAAUGUCAUUGUCAUGGGAUGGAUGCUCCCUGCGAUGUGGCAGAUAAUGCAUUCCAGUGUGCUACUUGCAGAAAGUGGUAACAUCUCUGUGUACUUUUUAUUCAGAACCUAAGUUGCUAGUUAGUUGAACACCACAGAUGUAUGAGCUGUCUUCGGCCUAAGAGUGGGCAUGAAAAUUGUAGCAAACCCAUAGAGGCUUUUAAUUUUUUUCUAAAAAGACCUCACAGCAGUAUUAUUGAUUUGGUUUUAAAUAGCUAUUUUAUGAAGUUUCAGGAUAAUUUUUUUUUAACCUCACCUUUUAGCCUUUAUUUUGAUUUUUUUAAAGGGGGGUGGUUUUCCUUUAUCAAUCCCUAACCAUUUUAUCUUAAGAACUCUUUCUGAAGUCAUUCUUUAUUUCAGCCAGAAAACUGAUUAGUGUUCAUUGAUAGAAGAUGAUAGGCUGUACAGUUAACCAUGAAAAAUAUUUUUCUCCUUGACACCUAAAAGUUGUUGUCAAAAGUAUUACCGCAUUCAGUUAAAGAGAGUGGGUAGAAUUUUAUUGUCUGAGCUUAUAGUAUACAAGCACCAAAGCUCGAUGAAUUCAGGUCUUUUCCAGGAAGUUUGACUUGCAUUUUUUUCUCAUAAGAUAUUCACAUUUCUUUUCCACUCCUAAUUUUGUGGCAUAAAAUAAAACAUAACUUUUGUUCUGGGCACAGUUUCUUAUUGCUGAAGGACUUAGGAAAGAGCAUGUCAGGAGUAGGAAUGGUCCAGCUAGUGAAACUGAAAAGAAAAACCCUGGAGCACUAUUUGUUCCUCUUCAGCGGCUGUCUGUGGGCCUUCAGCUGCUCCUGGGGAAGGGCCAUGUUUACUCCUGAAGAAUUGCGGCAACAGUAGAAGGGGCUUCUGUAAGUAAUGUACCUCUCAGUGCAAGCUAAUACAUUCCUAAGGGUUUAUUUGGCUUCACUUCCUAAUUUACAGUGAUCUUGACCGGCUUUCUGCCUUGAGACCCUGAGUGUCAUGCCGUGGUGGGGAAGGUUGGCACCUCAGGCACGUAUGAGAUGGUGUGGAGCUCCUUAGAUGAAAGGUGCUCUCAGUGUGGGAAAUACAGUAAUGUGAGAAACCUUCCAUCCAGCUGUCUGUCCGUCCAUGCUCCAUGCAAGCAAGUUCUCUGCCUCUUGAGCCUGUGUCUCCCACACCGAAAGUUAUAUGUACUGUCCUGAUGCAGGAGAAGAACCUAAGUUUUCUGGGGAGAAAAAAUGGGCUUUUAAGCAAGGUGAAAAACAAAAAACACUUUCUUUCCAGUUAUACCAAAAGUGAUGAUAUAACUAAACCAAACUCCCUGGAAAACUAGAUACCAUCAAACUUGAAUGACAGGGUAGAUAGGAAUGAGCCCAGCCCAGACUGUAGGUGAAGGAACAUGUUGUUUUCCAGCAGCUGCAGUUUAGCAUGCAUUAGGUUGUGAAUUCUGCACUUUGGUUUCUAGGCAACUUGCACACAUUUUAAAUCUGAAUAUAAACACAUACACACCCCCAAAACAGAAUGAAACAAUAAAAAGCCUAAUGAUAUAAACCAUGUUUGCCACAAGUCUCAGUAACUAUAGCAAACAAAUCCAGGCCACUGCCUGGCUAAGUAGAGAUGUUGGUGGUUAGACCUAGGAAAUAAAGACAAAGCAGCUAUAAAUAACUUCUUUUGUUGCACAGUGAUAAUGUCUCUACAACGCAAGCACAUCAGGUGUGCUCUGCCUCCAAGGUGCCCUGCAAGAGAAGGCAUCUCCUCAAGGGAACGAGUCUUGUUAAGGGAGAUUUCAUUUCUUUUCCUGUUCUUUUAAUUAGUCUUACAUUAAGAUUCUUAGAAGUUGUACAUCUUCUUAUUGCUAGCAGCAAGCUCGGUAAGUCCAGGUUACUUCUAGGCGGACAGGUCUGACCCAAAGGGUGCUCAUCAGUGCCUCCGUUGCCACCAGUAGGGAGGUGAUAGGAGCAGUUCUGGGGUGUGGCUUAAUAUCUGUACUAGAAAUUGGGACUUACGGAUAACCUCAAUGAGUUCACAGAUGAGGCGGGCUUAACAUAGGAUUGCCAGUAAAUUUGGCAAUCGAAAUGAUCCUGUUAUACCAAGCACUGUUUAGAUUCAUGUGCCAAAGUGACCAGCUCUGGGUUUGAAAGAGGGUUAUUGUGGGCCUUCUGGAUGGACAGAAGUCAAAUGGAACACAUGUGAGCAUGUGUUCAAUGUCUUUAAAUAUUGAAUAGCAUAAUGGUGGAGUUAACAUGGGAUCGGCCCAUGCUGUUGGAGUCUGCAUCUUGAGCAAGAUGGAGCAAUUGAGAAUGGUCCAAAGAAAAGUAGUAUUGUGGGCAUGAGAAAAAUAAGACCUAUGGGAAAAUUUUUUAAAAACUGAAAUUGUUGGCCAGGUGCGGUGGCUCAUGCCUGUAUUCCCAGCACUUUGGGAGGCUGAGGCGGGCAGAUCACUUGAGCCCAGCAAUUUGAGACAAGCCUGGGCAACAUGGUGAAAUCCCAUCUCUACAAAAAAAAUACUAAAAAAUGACGCAAGUAUGAUGGUGCACACCUGUAGUUCCAGCAACUUGGAAGGCUGAGGUGAGAGGAUCACCGGAGCCCCAAGAGGUCCAGGCUAUAGUAAGCUGUGUUCACACCACUGCACUCCAACCUGGGUGACAGAGUGAGACCCUGUCUCAAAAACAAAAAAUAAAACUGGACCAUAGUUUUAAGGAAUUCCUAUCCUAUAAUUAAAUACGUUUAACAUAAGUAAUAUUUCUCUCAAAAGCUUUAAGCAGGCUGUAUAAACAGAAACAACUUAGGAGCUUGCUAAUUUGUUUAUCCCUGCUAUAGACAUGUUUCUUCAUUCAUUCAUUCAUUCAUUCAUUCACCUUUCAUGUUAAUUUUAAGAAAUCUUUAAAAUAGCCACUGUCAUUAUUUAUUGUCAAGAACAAUGAUUUGUGAUGGCAGACUAAGAUUGCUGACUUUUUAUUUAGAGUUUGUAAAAACAGGUUUCAGGAUGUUAAAUUUUUAUAGUUAUUGCAUGAUUGAUGUGUUUCCUUUUCCCACAGAACUAAAGCAUGUUAAAGAUGCUAUUUGAAUUUAAUUCUGGGAACAUAAUAAAAAUAGCAUUGGGGCAUUGAGGAGCUCAGAGGCACAGGCCUCAUCAGCCCUGCUUUAAUACCUGAGCAGCAAGAGGUUACAGGUGGCUUCUCCUCCCUCCCAGGGGACCUCAGUAGGUAGAGGAGAGAGGAGGCACACAGUCAGGGGACCCUGAGGCCAGAGCCACACCAGGGGAUUCUGCUGCCCCAGUCCCUUCCCACAGGCUUGUUCGUCCAUUGACAGGAACAGUUGCACAUACAAAAUCAACUUUGCUUUCCCAUCCUCUGUAAAAUGUAGUGCCCAGCCUCUUUAUUAUGCAUUUUAUUACUCCCAUUUAGAAUUAUAUUGCUAUCAGGAAUGGUUUCUUGAGAACUGGAGUGGAAGAAAGGCUGUGUCCCACGAUAUGUGAUCCUGCUAAUAAAGUGGAUGAUCAGACACAAAGCCAAGUUCAUCUUCCCACCUUGGGGCCACCACAGAGCCACGUGGUAACCCCCUUUUUCUGAAGGAACGGCAUUGAGGCCCAGGCCAUGUGCAUUUCCCCCUGGGCUGCCUCCUCUGACCCCAGGAUUCCAGCUCUUCCUCAGAAGUUGUCUCCAUCUCUGCGAUGAAAGAGGAGAGCAGGGACCUUUCUCCCUCCCCUCCUCUGUGUCUUUCUGACCAGGUGCCCCCAGGACGCCUAUUGCUGAUGGGCGUAGGCAUUCCCAGUUCCCUCCUGGCCCAAGCUCCUGGAGGUGGGACCACACAUGACAGAGCGACACCCAGCUUGUCCUCUCUGUUGCAAAGUGCAGGAUGAGAAUUUUGGGUUAUCCUGGCUCCUCCCAUGUUUUUUGCAGCUCCAGUGACAGCAAUGCCAAAUGAUACCCAAAGAUAAAAAUAUUGAUCCAAGUGCAGAUGAGCUGAAAACAUUCCUUUUCUGAUAGAAAACACGGUAAACAGUCUCACUUCCUUCCUCAAAGAUUGUACCUGGAAAGCCAUGGCUGGUUAAUUUUUUCCCUUUAGAAUACAUAACAUUGUGAACUUCAGAAAAUACCAUAAUCAGGGAGUUCCAUGACAGAGUUAAGUCUCCACACUCCAAAAAAAAAAAAAGCAAGUAAUGGCUGUUGAUCGUGUGGAUAUGUGAAUUGCAAUAAAUAACAGGCUCUCACGUUUUACCAGUUCUUUUUACUACUUAGACAUUUUGUCAGGCUUCUCAAACCAAAAGGCUCUGUGCCAUUCAGGAACUUAGCCAGUUUUCAUGUAUGUGAGUGAAACAUUUGGGGCCAAAGAAAGACUCCUUUGUAGCAAGAGUGACUUGCGCUUUAAUCAGUGUAGGAAAUGGCCUUAUGAGAAGAUGGAUUUGUGCUAGAAAAAUUGAGAAUAAGGAAAACUAUUCAGAAAUAAGAUUUUUUUUUUUAAAUCAUCUUUGUGGUAAUGUGAAAUUGUGAUAUUGCCAGAUUGAGAUUGUAUACUGUGUACUCAGAGUCCUUGGGGGUGUGUGUGUGUGUGUGUGUGUGUGUGUGGAGAGGGAGAGACACUAAAAAAGUACAAUAAGCCAGUUUGUGAUCUCACCAUAUGUGUUGAAUUGAACACAACUCUUCUGCACUUAAUGAAGACUUUAGCCUUUAGGGGUAAAUAAAACAUCACUAAACAGGGAUGGCUUGAAUAUUUCUUACCGGCUGUAAUAAUUAAAGCCAUGAAAAAGGUGGUGGGGUUAUGUUACUCAUUAACUGGAAUCGCUCUUAGAUUUGAUCAAGACGCGAUGGCCCCUGGCGCUUUGUUUCAUGUUUGUCCUUUGUUUCAUUGACACGCUCUGCCCCGGCCUCCGUGGCGCUGUAAAAGCAGCAGAGCAGUUAAAGAACCAGACCCAGAAGGCCCGUAGACCUCCUAUCUAGCCGCCUUUUCUCCCCUCCCCCCAAACCCAACAAACUCUUCAACCUUCAGAACUGAGCCUGAAAUCAUCUAUAAAGCAGCACACUUAGGGAUCUGGGAGGGAACGGGAAGAAACCUUCCUCUUUUAAAAGGAAACUGAUGAAUUCAAGUGUAGCCAAGAGCUUUUAAAGGAUGUCAUUGGCCAGGCGCGGUGGCUCAUGCCUGUAAUCCCAGCACUUUGGGAGGCCGAGGCGGGCGGAUCACGAGGUCAGGAGAUCAAGACCAUCCUGGGUAACAGGGUGAAACCCCAUCUCCACUAAAAAUACAAAAAAUUAGCUGGGCGUGGUGGCAGACACCUGUAGUCCCAGCUACUCAGGAGGCUGAGGCAGGAGAGUGGCGUGAACCCAGGAGGCAGAGCUUGCAGUGAGCCGAGAUUGCGCCACUGCACUCCAGCCUGGGCAACAGAGCGAGACUCUGUCUCAAAAAUAAAUAAAUAAAUAAAUAAAUACAUAAAUAAAUACAUAAAUAAAUAAAUAAAGGAUGUCAUUGUCCUUAGGUGUUGCACCAAACAGGCUAAGAAGCAAUGACAUUGAUUAUGAGGAACUUGGAACUCAGAUGUAUUAAUUUCCUAUUGUGUUUUAACAAAUUACUACAAAUAUUGUGGCUUAAAACAAAUUUAUUAUAGUAUCUGGAGGUCAGAAGUCCAAUAUCAGCCGUCAUUAGCUAAUGUCAGGGUGUCUGCAGCACUUUCUUUCUGUAGGCUCUAGGAGAGAAUCUAGUUCCUGGCCUUGUCUAGCUUUUAGGGUUGCCUGUAUUCCUUGGUUCAUGGCCCCUUCCUCCAUCUUUAAAGCUAGCAUGGUUUGGCCAAGUCCUUCUCACACUGCUGUCUUUUUGGUUCUCUCUCUUGCCUGCCUUUUCUACUUAUAUGGACACUUAUGCUUACAUUGAGCCCACCUGUAUAAUCCAGGGUAAUCUCAUAGUUGAUUAGCAGCCUUAAUCCAUCUGUAAUUUUAAUUCCCUUUUGCCAGGUAAUGUGGCCAUUAUCCUGCCUACAACCUCAGAGGAUGUUGAUAAUGUAAAGGGUAGUGAAUUGGGGAGUUCAUAGGGUUUGAUAGUUGACAAAUACAGAGUGUAGUAUUAGGUAGGGGUUUUUUGGCAGGGUGCAGUGGCCCAUACCUGUAAUGUCAGGACUUUGGGAGAUCAAGGCAAGAGGAUCUGUUUAGCCCAGGAGUUCGAGAUCGGCCUGGGCAACAAACUGAGACCCCUCAGCCACCUCAUCUACAAAAAUAAUAAAAGGUGGGAGGUAGUUAGUAGUUUUGUAGUUUUCUUACAGCUUCUCAUAACUACCAUCAGGAAAAUGUAUAUGUGCAUAUGUAUCUGUAUAUGUGCAUAUAUAUACAGAUAUAUAUAUAUGUACAUAUAUAUAUCUGUAUAUAUGUACAGAUACAUCUGUAUAUGCACAUAUACAGAUAUAUGCUAUUAUAGUAGAAAAAGUCAUUUGCAUUUCGCUUAAAUGAAGUUUCUAUUACACUGUAAUAGCUAACAUGCCAACUGCUGACAUAAAGAGAAAUUUUCAGUGUGACAUAAAACUAAUUUAUGGUUUUAGUUUGAAGGAAAUUGGCAUUUCUAUUUAAAAGAAUGAUUCAGUUAUAGUUUUAUUGACUUGUGAAUAAUUGAGUUAAUCGUUUGCUUUGUCUUGUGAAAUUUUUUUUUUAUAAUUUGUUACUAACAUUUUAUAGGAAAACUUCCAGUUAAAAUGAUACUCCAGUUUUAACAUUGUAAACAUCCUUUUUUGUGCACACAUCUGUAUAAUUUUUAGGUUUGUUUUGUUUUGUUUUGUUUUUGAGACAGGAUCUCAGUUUGUCACCCAGGCUGGAAUACAAGUGGCAAGAUGAGGGCACAGUGCAGCCUUAACCUUCCGGACUCAAGCAAUCCUCUCACCUCAGCCUCCCAAGUAGCUGGGACUACAGGCGCAUGCCACCAUGCCUGGCUAAUUUUUGUAUGUUUUGUAGAGACAGAGUUUUGGCCCAGUCUGAUCUCAAACUGGUGGGCCCACGUGAUCCACCAGCCUCAGCAAAAUUUUUACAUAGUUGUAACCACUGUGUACAUAUUGUGUAUUAAGUGGCUUGACCUUCCUGUGUUCUCUUUCCCCAGUCACCUAAGACUGUGGGUAACAUGUGCUCCUGUCUACAAGGCCAUUGCAAAGUCAACUGAGAUAACACGUGCGAAGUUCUCUGGGAGAAAAGCACCAUCUGCAUUUGCAUAAAGCAGAGCUGCCGAGGUUAAGCUGUCAACAGCUUCCUAGGGAAAAUGUCCCUGAAACAGAUAAGACAUUUACCUGUAAUGGUUUUCUUUGCCUGUGAAAUUAAUGGUACAAGGCUUAAAAAAAGUAUUAUCUUUUAAUUUGUCUUUUAAAGUUGAUUCUAUUUUAACAUAUUUUCAUCAUUUAGUUGCUAAGAAUCACUGCUAAUGGGCACAAAUGGAAACUUAGAUCCUGCUACAAGAAGGUUACAUUAAUUCAAAACUGGCUCCGCUGGAUGCAGGUGGGGGUGGGAGUGAGGGGGGAUUAAAAGUAAAGACAUCCCAGACCUGCAAGGAGCUCAGAAAUGGGAGCAUCAUGCGCAGCAGCACUCCGAUAAUUCUGUUGUAUGGCAGAAUAGCAUAACAGCCCACGUGGAAAUGAAUGAGAGUAAAACUCAUGAAGCAAAUUCUGCAUCUGGAAGGUUAAGAUUGGUGAAGGGUUCUUGAAAAACGUGACCCCUUGAAUAGUGAUUUGAGUAGAGGGCAUUCCAGGCAGAGGGCUGAGUAGGCUGCAGAAAGGUUUGUUGAAGGGCUGAGGAGUGGAUUGGGACUGGAAAUGAGCAUAGUGACCUGCACACAUAGGGCAUACAUGUCACUGUUUCAGUCCCCAGCCAGAGAGAAGUGCAGGGUGGGAGUCAGGGAACCCACCUGGUGGUAAGGCAGGCCUGGUGUGCCCCUAGGGCCUGCACUAGAGAGGCGCUGGCAGUGGGGGAAGGGGGAGAGUGGAGAGCUUACUUGGCACCUGUAGUUUACAUUUGAGGGUUACAUUUGGUAGGAUCAUGGGUUGCGUCAGUCCCUCUCGGCACACAUCUCAGGUUGUGCAGAGUUGGUGUUGAAGGAACAUGGGGAAGAGGGUGGCUCAUUUUAUAUUCAUGCUCAGAAACAGGGGUCUUUAGCCAGAAAGGGCGCGCCAAGGACGGUGCUGUUUCCUGACACCCUGGAGAGUUGGGCGUCACGGCGCUUGUGCCCAAGGUCACAAGGUGAGUAGCCAGGCAGGAUUAGACCCUGGUCCGGGUUACUCUCCAGCCAACGGCGCCCCUAGCGUCUGCGAAAUCACUGUGCUUGGAGGAAAGGACGACAGGUUUUAAAGAGGGAGUGUCAUCGCCUGCAGCGGGCGGACCCAUGUCCCGGCAGUGCAGCUCCGCAGGCACAGGAGGGAUGCGGGCUGGGGACGCCUUGGGGCGGCUGCAGGCUGGGGCGCGCCCCUGCACCCGGCGGGCCUCCGCUGCGUCCGCUGCGGACAGGGGUCGGUGAGAGGCCCCAGGUCCAGCGCGACUUGCUUUUGUUAAAACCUCCUUGUGUUAGGUGUGCUCCCAGCUUUGGAGCCAGGCUUUUGGACACGCCUGAGUUUUUCUAAAGCCUUCUUGUUCCGGUCUUCCCGCAUCUUCCAGUGCGGUCAAGGAUGCUGGUGGCUGGGUCCUCUCCGCGGAGGGCUCUGGGUCGGGACUCUUGCACCCACCCUGGGGCCUUGGCUUCAGAACCAGUUACUAGUGUCAAGGAUUGCUGUACAGCGGCUGCCCUCUCCUAAGGGCCAGGUAUUUUCUAUUUUUUUUAUGGAUGAUCGUGGUCCUCGUGCUUCUAAUUUAAAUAGGUCAUGCUUUAAGCCUUCACAGAGGUGCUCCAGGGACAGAUAGAUGUCCAUGUAACGUAGCUCCCCUAACCCUCGUUAAACGAACUUGAGGCCAGUUGAGAGGGGAGCAGUACCAGUAGAUUUCAGGCAGCAUCACGCUGCCGGCCCCUGCGGAAUGGAGAGUGGUGUUCGGGGAUUUGCUUUGGAAAUGCCUUGGGAAGGCGCCGCCACCCCCACUUUGAACAACGGUAGGAACGCAGGGUGGGUGCUCAGGUGGCACGAGCACUGCUGGCCAGCAGAGGACUGCGCUGGGCCUAGAAAGGAAGAUAUGGGUUCCCAGAUACGGGUUCUUUAAAAAAAUGUCAGUGGACUAGGGCCACUGAUUCAACUUCCAAAAAGCAAAAUGGAGAUUAUAAAAAUGGCGUGAACAAAUAGUAUCGGAAUCAUUUGGUAAGUUAAAUCUGUGAUGUUAGUGAGAACUGCUUAUCUGAAAUGGAAAUACUCUCAAGACCUUUUGUGGCUUAUCCCAAGGCUUACUCUCUACCUUUUAGUUGAAAGCAGAAUUGCAAAUUUGACCAACUUAAUCGGCAGUGGCUUUUUGCUUUUAAAAGUACAUGCUAAAAUGUUUGUGUGAGCGAUGAGGCUGAUAGCGUAGGUACCUGAAGUGGAGAUUUACUUUUGCCAAGAAUGUUUUGGUGUAUUUUGUGAAACUUCUUUAUUUCUGUCUCUCAUUAAAGAAUGUUUGUUUUUUAAAGGUAGAUAAGAAUUUUUCAAACUGACAUAAUUUUUAAGGGAAUUAUAUUUAAUUGUAAUGUUCUUAUGCAUUUGAAAACAUGCAUAAAGCUUAUUAGUGUUCUUAACAUUUAAAGGGGAGUGUUGUGUGCUGUACACGAAGAGAUCGACCCAGCUAAGAACGACGUCUAGACCUGGGAGUGUGGGGAACAUAGGGAAGGAUAAGUUUUUUGGGAGUGUUACAUUUUCUCUGAAGGAGUUUUCUCCCUAGGUUCUCAGUUGCUCACCAUGUUUAUUUCAUCUGCAGAACAAGUGUUUGGGAGUCAUUUCUAUAUUUUUACUUCCCAGACACCUGAUUUUCUUAGUUUUAAGUAUGUAAGAAUGUCAUCUUACUUCAGGAAACUAAAGUUGUAAGUUAAGGUAGACAUAUUAGCAUUUGAAAGUACUCACUUUAAUUGUUUCUUAUUCUGCUUGUUUUAACUUAAAAUCUGUUAAUUUUCUUGUUUAAAAAAGGAUUAACUUUUAAAGUGGUUAUUACAAUUUAAAUUGUAUUCAGCUAUUUGUCAUAUUAAUAUUUAGAGGGGCAAAUUUAGUUACCAAACAUGGCAUUUUGUAAGAAAAUAAGGUACUAAGUUUUCUAUCACACGAACAGUUUAGGAUUUUCCUGACUUUUAGAUGGAGAUAUUUUAGCUCACAUUUUAUAAAUGCAUGGAAUGGGACUGAAAGCCAUACUUACCUGAAGUGUUUUAAAAAUUUAAAUCUGUUUUUGAAAAAUAUACAGUUUGAAAGUGGAAGACUCUCAGCCUAUUUAAUGCAAAGUUUUUAUAGUGGUGGGGUUUUAAUAUUCCUCCAUUCAGUAGUUCAUUGCCUGAUUUUUUUUAACCUUUCAUGUAAACUUUGUUCAGUAAUUCUUUUAAAUGGAUGCAGAUUAUUUAAAGAUCAAAUCAGUACUGUCAAAGUAUAAGAAGGCUUUGUUUUUGAUGUUUUAUUUUUCUAAGCACGUUUUAAUUAUAAUUUUUCUCAUCUACAACAUUCUAAUUACAUUUUAAAUUAGAAUGAGGAGUUUAACAUGCAGAACUUGUGAAUGGACUAUUACAGUUUUCUAGGGAAAACUGCCCUGAUCAGUUCCCUUCCUGAGGUGGGUCCCUAUCCUGUGGUUUGGGGCCACAUCUUUCUGUUUUUGAUUGAAGUGCAUUCUAGGAAUACCUACCUCUCACUUAUUCUCAAUAAAUCACAUUCCUCUUAA